CGAAAAAACGUUGGUAUUUUUAGAAAAAUUAUCUUUUCCAUUCGACUGUCAGUAUCGAUCGUACUCUCCACUGGAAAACAUCUCACUAGAUCCCCCCGGGAAGCAACAGUUAAACCAGCAAAAAAAUCCAGCCCCGUCCAAGAUGUCUGAAACUAGAAACCUCAUGACGACGUUCCUAAUUCUGAUCUUCCUGCUAUUCCUGCUCUACCUCGUAAUCGAAAUAUUUUACUAGGAGGACACAUUCUGCAGCCGUUUAGUUAGAAAGGAUGAGUGAGUGGAUGAAGUGUUUUAGUUUUGUGCGUGAUAAGGACUGCGAGCGAGUGAGGAGGAUCGGUGGACCGAAUGGAUGAAGCAAUGUACCACCCUACAUUUAGCCAGUUUUAAGAUGCACACAGUAGAAUAGUAGGAUUCCAGCUUGAGCUUCGUACCGUACCCAAUGCACCUACACACACUGCACUCUCGCUGCACCCAGAUUGCACCAAGAUCUGAAUGACAAUGUUGCACCAUCACAGCGCCAGCUUCUCGUGGACGUCAUAAGAAUGAGAUCACCAGACCGACUCCGUUUGCGAUGCUGCUGGCCAAUUGUUUCAAGUUCAUCUAGGCCACCUGCUGAUGUUGCAGUACUUGAACCUGUUACGCCACACGUCAAUAUCUCACGGCUCCGAUUAGGCAGUUUGUGGCAGUGCCAUUGACUGAGGUUCAAUUUAACCUCCCGCGACUUACUGUUAACUGAGGCAAAAUCGCCACCAUGAACAAUCGGCGGAACAGCAUGAAAAAGGACGAUAAGCAUGGCAAGGACAAACCGGACCGCAAGAUUAUCCGUCAUCCGACGGCACCGUUUUCGAUGAAAUCGAUUAUCAUGAACCUGAUAAUUGCAUUUUUUCUGUACCUCUUGCGUCGAGUCAUAGAAGCUGGCGGGAAAAGUGCGAUCACCAAGUACAGCCGGUUUAUCAAAUGAAGUGCUGCGGGAGUGGGUGAUAGUGGCAGGUGUUGGGUUAAAUCAUAUUUUCUUCUUCGCUAAUGUUUUCCCCGCUACUAUUGACAAAUAUAAUGUUUAUGUUAUAAGGUUACGGAA